rnacentral:rRNA from 1 species
UACGAGAGGUGCAGGUGUUGCUCCUAAUUACUGGGCGUUAAGGGUAUGUAGAUUGUAAUUUAAGUUUAAUGGUAUAUAAUUUGCAUUCUAUUUAAUACUAUUUUACUAGAAUAAUAUUUAAAAUAUUAGAACUGUUAGUUUAAGGUUUAAAUCUAUAGAGAUAAGCAGGAAUGCCGACAGCGAAGGCAGAUAUUUAUUUAUUAUUGACAUUGAUGUACGAAAGCAUGGGGAGCAAAUGGG